rnacentral:rRNA from 1 species
AACGAACGCUGGCGGCAUGCCUAACACAUGCAAGUCGAACGAGACCUUCGGGUCUAGUGGCGCACGGGUGCGUAACGCGUGGGAACCUGCCUUUAGGUUCGGAAUAACUCCCCGAAAGGGGUGCUAAUACCGGAUAAUGUCUUCGAACCAAAGAUUUAUCGCCUUUGGAUGGGCCCGCGUUGGAUUACCUAGUUGGUAGGGUAAACGCCUACCAAGGCUAGGAUCCAUAGCUGGUCUGAGAGGAUGAUCAGCCACACUGGGACUGAGACACGGCCCAGACUCCUACGGGAGGCAGCAGUGGGGAAUAUUGGACAAUGGGCGAAAGCCUGAUCCAGCAAGGACGCGUGAGUGAUGAAGGCCUUAGGGUUGUAAAGCUAUUUUACCCGGGAUGAUAAUGACAGUACCGGGAGAAUAAGCUCCGGCUAACUCCGUG